ACUGCUUCAUGAAAAGGCGGAUGCCCUGGAAGCCGUUUCUGCUCCACUGAGGGGAAAGAGUGGCCGAGAUCAGGAAGCAGCUUGCGCAGGACCUGGAGAAGACGUGAAGAGUCUGAGGCCAGCGCUGACGAUUUUGGCCUUAUGGUUCCUCUCCGGCUCCCACAUCAGCCCCUGGUAUAUGGCGGCCCCUCGGGGGGUAUCACUUAAGGAGCACACCUUCCUUCCACCGGGGCCGGUACCGUAUUUCCUCCCUGAAGCCCUCACCCAGAGCCGCACCAUCAUUUCUGUUUCAGUGGGCCCCCCAAUGGAACUGACCCAGGUGUUUGGACAGAGCUGGUCUUGGUCCUCACUCCCCAGAUCUCUGAAACCAUAGAUCUCCCCAGGCUGAGCUGUGUCCAGGAGGUGACCAUGUCCCCCUUUUCCCAUCGCCUGCCUGUCUCAAACACCACCAGUAAGA